rnacentral:rRNA from 1 species
CCUACGGGUGGCAGCAGUGAGGAAUAUUGGUCAAUGGCCGGAAGUCUGAACCAGCCAAGCCGCGUGAAGGACGAAGGUGCCAAGCAUUGUAAACUUCUUUUGUCAAGGGACAAAAUCAGGCUCGAGAGCCUGACCGAGGGUACUUUAAGAAAAAGCAUCGGCUAACUCCGUGCCAGCAGCCGCGGUAAUACGGAGGAUGCGAGCGUUAUCCGGAUUUAUUGGGUUUAAAGGGUGCGUAGGCGGGCUGUUAAGUCAGCGGUAAAAGCCCGGGGCUCAACCCCGGCGAGCCGUUGAAACUGGCUGUCUUGAGAUGUCGAGAGGUAUGCGGAAUGCGCAGUGUAGCGGUGAAAUGCUUAGAUAUUGCGCAGAACUCCGAUUGCGAAGGCAGCAUACCGGCGGCGAUCUGACGCUGAGGCACGAAAGCGUGGGUAUCAAACAGGAUUAGAUACCCUUGUAGUC